rnacentral:rRNA from 1 species
CUACGGGAGGCAGCAGUGGGGAAUUUUGCGCAAUGGGCGAAAGCCUGACGCAGCAACGCCGCGUGAGGGAUGAAGGCCUUCGGGUUGUAAACCUCUUUUAACCGGGAAGAACCUCUGGUCCGCAAAUAGCGGGCCGGACUGACGGUACCGGUUGAAUAAGCCACGGCUAACUCUGUGCCAGCAGCCGCGGUAAGACAGAGGUGGCAAGCGUUGUUCGGAUUUACUGGGCGUAAAGAGCGCGUAGGCGGUCCUUUAAGUCGGUGGUGAAAUCCCGGGGCUUAACCCCGGAACUGCCUCCGAUACUGUUGGACUUGAGUGCGGGAGAGGGUAGUGGAAUUCCCAGUGUAGAGGUGAAAUUCGUAGAUAUUGGGAAGAACACCAGUGGCGAAGGCAGCUACCUGGACCGCAACUGACGCUGUGGCGCGAAAGCGUGGGGAGCAAACAGGAUUAGAUACCCCGGUAGC